AAUUGGAGGGCAAGUCUGGUGCCAGCAGCCGCGGUAAUUCCAGCUCCAAUAGCGUAUAUUAAAGUUGUUGCAGUUAAAAAGCUCGUAGUUGAAUUUCGGGAUCAGCAGGUUGGUCGUGCCAAUGGUAUGCACUGGCCUUGCUGAUUCCUCCUUCUUGAUGAGCCGUAAUGCCAUUAAUUUGGUGUUGCGGGGAAUCAGGACUGUUACUUUGAAAAAAUUAGAGUGUUUAAAGCAGGCUCACGCUUGAAUACAUUAGCAUGGAAUAAUGAAAUAGGACGUUGAUCUUAUUUUGUUGGUUUCUAGGAUUGACGUAAUGAUUAAUAGGGAUAGUUGGGGGCAUUAGUAUUCAAUUGUCAGAGGUGAAAUUCUUGGAUUUAUUGAAGACUAACUACUGCGAAAGCAUUUGCCAAGGAUGUUUUCAUUAAUCAAGAACGAAAGUUAGGGGAUCGAAGACGAUCAGAUACCGUCGUAGUCUUAACCAUAAACUAUGCCGACUAGGGAUCGGAUGAUGUUAAUUUUUUAAUGACUCAUUCGGCGCCUUACGGGAAACCAAAGUGU
rnacentral:rRNA from 1 species